rnacentral:rRNA from 1 species
AUUGAACGCUGGCGGCAGGCUUAACACAUGCAAGUCGAGCGAGCGGCGGACGGGUGAGUAAUGUCUGGGAAACUGCCUGACGGAGGGGGAUCACUACUGGUAACGGUAGCUACUACCGCAUACCAUCAGAUGUGCCCAGCUGGGAUUAGCUAGUAGGUGGGGUAAAGGCACACCUAGGCGACGAUCCCUAGCUGGUCUGAGAGGAUGACCAACCACACUGGAACGGAGACACGGUCCAGACUCCGACGGGAGGCAGCAGUGGGGAAUAUUGCCCAAUGGGCGAAAGCCGGAUGCAGCCAUGCCGCGUGCGUGAAGAAGGCCUUCAGGUUGUAAAGCACUUGCAGCGAGAAGGCGUUACUCGCAGAAUAAGCACCGGGAAACUCCGUGCCAGCAGUCGCGGUAAUUC